GACUGUUUACCAGAAACACAGGUCUCCGCAAAGUCAUAAGACCAUGUAUGGGGGCUGACGCCUGCCUAGUGCCGGAAGGUCAAGGAAGUUGGUGAACUGAUGACAGGGCAGCCGGCGACCGAAGCCCCGGUGAACGGCGGCCGUAACUAUAACGGUCCUAAGGUAGCGAAAUUCCUUGUCGGGUAAGUUCCGACCCGCACGAAAGGCGUAAC
rnacentral:rRNA from 1 species